GGUGUAGCGGUGAAAUGCGUAGAGAUCUGGAGGAAUACCGAUGGCGAAGGCAGCCAUCUGGCCUAACACUGACGCUGAGGUGCGAAAGCAUGGGGAGCAAACAGGAUUAGAUACCCUGGUAGUCCAUGCCGUAAACGAUGUCUACUAGCCGUUGGGGCCUUUGAGGCUUUAGUGGCGCAGCUAACGCGAUAAGUAGACCGCCUGGGGAGUACGGUCGCAAGACUAAAACUCAAAUGAAUUGACGGGGGCCCGCACAAGCGGUGGAGCAUGUGGUUUAAUUCGAUGCAACGCGAAGAACCUUACCUGGCCUUGACAUAGUAAGAACUUUCCAGAGAUGGAUUGGUGCCUUCGGGAACUUACAUACAGGUGCUGCAUGGCUGUCGUCAGCUCGUGUCGUGAGAUGUUGGGUUAAGUCCCGCAACGAGCGCAACCCUUUUCCUUAUUUGCCAGCGAGUAAUGUCGGGAACUUUAAGGAUACUGCCAGUGACAAACUGGAGGAAGGCGGGGACGACGUCAAGUCAUCAUGGCCCUUACGGCCAGGGCUACACACGUGCUACAAUGGUCGGUACAAAGGGUUGCUACACAGCGAUGUGAUGCUAAUCUCAAAAAGCCGAUCGUAGUCCGGAUU
rnacentral:rRNA from 1 species